rnacentral:misc_RNA from 1 species
UGCAGACAAGGGAAUUAAAUACAACUGGCUUCUCUUCUUCUGAUCUCAAAUAUCAGCUGAUGUGUCUUGAUGAUAGGGUUCUGUUGGAGCUGCAGAGUAUUGGUAUUUGUCCAGAGACAUUGCCUGAUCUGACAGAGGGAGAGGAAGUGAUUAAUCAAGAUAUAAUGGGACUUGAGGAAGGGCUGUGCCAACAGAUUGGGAGAAAGAAAAGGAAAUUAGGGAAAAUUGAUAAGGCUGUUCAGAAAGGGAAAGAAGUGGAAAAGAGGAACAUGGAGCAGGUUGCAAUGGACCAACUUAUUGAGAUGGCUUAUAAAAAACGAGUGGCUUGCCGUGGGAAUAAUUCCUCAAAAAGUGCGGUCCGCAAAGUUUCAAGACAAGUUGCACUGGCUUUUAUCAAGCGCACUCUUGCUAGAUGUAGAAAAUUUGAAGACACAGGCAGCGGUUGCUUUAGUGAGCCUGCAUUACAGGAGGUCAUUUUCGCUACACCACCAAGCAACAAUGAUGCAAAAUCUGUUGAUUGUGUUGGUUCAGGAACUGCAAGUAACACAUGUAAUGAAGUUUCUAACCAUCAUGCUGAAGC